UACGGAGGGGGCAAGCGUUAUUCGGAAUUAUUGGGCGUAAAGGGCGCGUAGGCGGCUAGAUGUGUCAAAGGUGAAAUCCCUCGGCUCAACUGAGGAACUGCCUUUGAAACUGUCUGGCUUGAGGCCGGGAGAGGGUAGCGGAAUUCCCAGUGUAGCGGUGAAAUGCGUAGAUAUUGGGAGGAACACCAGUGGCGAAGGCGGCUACCUGGACCGGUUCUGACGCUGAGGCGCGAAAGCGUGGGGAGCGAUCCGG
rnacentral:rRNA from 1 species